AGUAGUCAUACGCUCGUCUCAAAGAUUAAGCCAUGCAUGUGUAAGUGUAAAUAUAGUAGUUUGGAACUGCGAAUGGCUCAUUAUAUCAGUUAUAGUUUAUUUGGUGAAGUGUACUACUUGGAUAACCGUAGUAAUUCUAGGGCUAAUACAUGAGAAAGUCCUCUGGUGAGGUGUGUUUAUUAGAAUGAAAACCAUAUGCUUCGGCAUGAUAGUGAGUAAUAGUAACCUAUCGUAUCGCAUGCUUAAUGUAGCGAUGAGUCUUUCAAGUUUACUGCCCUAUCAGCUUUCGAUGGUAGUAUAU
rnacentral:rRNA from 1 species